rnacentral:misc_RNA from 1 species
UACGGAGGGUGCAAGCGUUAUCCGGAAUCACUGGGUUUAAAGGGUGCGUAGGCGGCGUCAUAAGGCAGAGGUGAAAGCCUGCAGCUUAACUGUAGAAUUGCCUUUGAUACUGAGGAGCUUGAAUAAGGAUGAGGUCAGCGGAAUGUGGCAUGUAGCGGUGCAAUGCUUAGAUAUGCCAUAGAACACCGAUUGCGAAGGCAGCUUACUGGACCUUUAUUGACGCUGAGGCACUAAAGCGUGGGGAGCGAACAGG